rnacentral:lncRNA from 1 species
GUAAAUUGCAUCAUUUUUUUUGGCGUAAAGUUACACUCACCAUGGUUUCUAGUUAUUGGGUUUUGAUAUGGCCAUUGAGAAUAUGAUGAUUCUGUGGUUAUGUAGUUCUUUAAAUUAUUUUCAAUUAAUGGUUGCCUUUGGGAGUUUUAAAAUUUUUGUUGUCAUUGUUCUGAAGGAGAUUUUUAUUUGGUGCUAACCAGUCUUGAUGUUCUGAGGCAUCUCUAGGUUUCGGUAACUGAAAAAAUCAUGCAUGCGCAGAAUUAAAGAUUGUACGCAACUAACCAAUCGCUUUGAAUGUCUCUUGGGCAGGUAUAUUAUGUGUAUGGGUUUAUGCUACUUGUUUUUCUGAUCCUCAUAAUUGUGACCAUUUGUGUGACCAUAGUUGGCACAUACUUUUUGUUGAAUGCUGAGAACUAUCACUGGCAGUGGACUUCAUUCCUUUCUGCUGCCUCAACAGCUGUCUAUGUAUACCUUUACUCUGUAUAUUACUACUAUGUGAAGACCAAGAUGUCAGGGUUUUUCCAGACUAGCUUCUACUUUGGCUACACCUUAAUGUUUUGUUUGGGAUUAGGAAUACUGUGUGGUAAGUUUCUCCAAUAUUCUG